UUUGGGGUAUGAAAAGAUCUAUGCUUGUAUGAAUGAAGUAAUGCUGAAGAAACUCAUACAACCUCGUAUCAUGCCCAAGAAAGUAAUUCUGAAGAAACUCAAAGAACCUCAACUCAUGCCCAAAGAAGUAGUACUAAAGAAACUCGCUCCAACGCUAGUCAUAUGGAAGAUGAAACACAAGAGUAUGAAUAUUCCCACCCCAUUCCUUCUAAUAUAGAAGCAGAAGAAGCUCGUAUUAAAAAAGGUAUAAGUUCUAUAUAACUUAUGUUUUUAUAAUUUAUUUUAUGUAAGCAUUUUUGUAUAUUUUUUGUCUCUAUUGUUUUACUUAUAUAGAGGUUGAACCUAAAAAAAUUGAGAGGUCCAACAAGAAUGUUAGAUGUAUGCGACAUGAUAUAUAUUCUCAAGUAAAAGGGUCUAAAAAGAAAGUAUGUGUGCGUUGUAUGGGCAUGAUUUCCAAACCCAAAAAAUUAAAAGUUGUUUUUGUCUGAAAAUCAAGAGUUACGUGAUAAAAUUAAGAAAAUGUAAGAAAAACAUAAGAAAAUGUAAGAAAAACAAGAGAGUACAAGUGUGAUGUUGGAAGAUAUGUUGUCAUUUAUUUAAAAUCGAUUUACUGGAGAUGAUAUGAAUGAAUUUUACGAGGUGCAAGACAAAUAUAAUAUUAUAUUUUUUUUUUUACUCACAUGUACUAUACUAUGCAUAGUAGUAGAAACACUUAUUCUAGUUGAUUUAUAGAAAAAGAAUGAGAGUAUAUAUGGAAGAACAAAAUAAUAGUAGGUAUUCAUCUAAUUUAUUCACUAAUGAGAAAUGGUUGUAAAAAAGAUGUCAUGCUUAUAUUAUUUGGAUCUCUUUCUCCUAUUAUUUUGCUCACUAAAUAAUAGAAGUGGAGCAUAUCUCUCUAAUUUGCCUUUGUUAACGUUCUCUUUACAAUUUCACUUAAACCAAACAUGCCCUUAGAAUAUUAUGAAAACAUUAAUUAAAUUAAGUUUGUAAUUUUUUGUAUUUUGUUUUAUAUAGAUUACAGAUGCUUCUAGCUCCC
rnacentral:lncRNA from 1 species